rnacentral:rRNA from 1 species
GCGCGUAAAUUGCCCGAAUCCUGACACAGGGAGGUAGUGACAAGAAAUAACAAUACAGGGCUACUUCUAGUCUUGUAAUUGGAAUGAGUACAACUUACAUCUCUUCACGAGGAUCAAUUGGAGGGCAAGUCUGGUGCCAGCAGCCGCGGUAAUUCCAGCUCCAAUAGCGUAUAUUAAAGUUGUUGCAGUUAAAAAGCUCGUAGUCGGAUUUCGGGUCGGGCCGAGCGGUCUGCCGAUGGGUAUGCACUGUUCGGCGCGGCCUUCUUUCCGGAGACCGCGGCUACUCUUAACUGAGCGGGCGUGGGAGACGGAUCGUUUACUUUGAAAAAAUCAGAGUGUUUCAAGCAGGCAGCUCGCUCUUGCAUGGAUUAGCAUGGGGUAAUGAAAUAGGACUCUGGUGCUAUUUUGUUGGUUUCGAACACCGGAGUAAUGAUUAACAGGGACAGUCAGGGGCACUCGUAUUCC